GGGCGAGUGGCGGAACUGGUAGACGCACAAGCUUGAGGGGCUUGCAGCUUCACGGCUGUGGAGGUUCAAAUCCUCUCUCGCCCACCA
rnacentral:tRNA from 2 species